rnacentral:rRNA from 1 species
UACGAAGGGGGCUAGCGUUGCUCGGAAUCACUGGGCGUAAAGGGUGCGUAGGCGGGUCUUUUAAGUCAGGGGUGAAAUCCUGGAGCUCAACUCCAGAACUGCCUUUGAUACUGAAGAUCUUGAGUUCGGGAGAGGUGAGUGGAACUGCGAGUGCAGAGGUGAAAUUCGUAGAUAUUCGCAAGAACACCAGUGGCGAAGGCGGCUCACUGGCCCGAUACUGACGCUGAGGCACGAAAGCGUGGGGAGCAAACAGG